rnacentral:rRNA from 1 species
AUUGAACGCUGGCGGCAUGCCUUACACAUGCAAGUCGAACGGGAACAGGCCUUCGGAUGCUGACGAGUGGCGAACGGGAGAGGAAUACACCGGAACGUGCCCGAUCGUGGGCGAAAACGAGGCGAAAGCUUUGCUAAUACCGCACACGAACGACUAAUGAAAACGGGGGAUCUGCGGACCUCGCGCGGCCCGAGCGGCCGAUGGCAGGUUAGUUAGUUGGUGGGGUGAACGCUUACCAAGCCGACGAUCUGUAGCUGGUCUGAGAGGAUGAUCAGCCACACUGGGACUGAGACACGGCCCAGACUCCUACGGGAGGCAGCAGUGGGGAAUUUUGGACGAUGGGCGAAAGCCUGAUCCAGCCAUGCCGCGUGAAGGAUGACGGCCUUCGGGUUGUAAACUGCUUUUGUCCGGAACGAAAAGACUCUUUCUAAUAAAGAGGGGUCAUGACGGUACCGUAAGAAUAAGCCCCGGCUAACUACGUG